rnacentral:rRNA from 1 species
CUUCGGGGGUAGAGCACUGUUUCGGCUAGGGGGUCAUCCCGACUUACCAACCCGAUGCAAACUACGAAUACCGAAGAAUGUUAUCACGGGAGACACACGGCGGGGGCUAACGUCCGUCGUGAAGAGGGAAACAACCCAGACCGCCAGCUAAGGUCCCAAAGUCAUGGUUAAGUGGGAAACGAUGUGGGAAGGCACAGACAGCCAGGAUGUUGGCUUAGAAGCAGCCAUCAUUUAAAGAAAGCGUAAUAGCUCACUGGUCGAGUCGGCCUGCGCGGAAGAUGUAACGGGGCUAAACCAUGCACCGAAGCUGCGGCAGCGACACUAUGUGUUGUUGGGUAGGGGAGCGUUCUGUAAGCCUGCGAAGGUGUGCUGUGAGGCAUGCUGGAGGUAUCAGAAGUGCGAAUGCUGACAUAAGUAACGAUAAAGCGGGUAAAAAGCCCGCUCGCCGGAAGACCAAGGGUUCCUGUCCAACGUUAAUCGGGGCAGGGUGAGUCGACCCCUAAGGCGAGGCCGAAAGGCGUAGUCGAUGGGAAACAGGUUA